UAAACGGGGCCAUGUAGCUGGAGGAGGCUGUAGCAAUAAGGCAGGUAUCACAACUCUGAUUCAGUGCAGCUCUCUCCAGGAGGGACUAUUUCAUGUUGGUACUUGGAAGCUGCUGAGAAACCCAGUGUACUCACUGGAACAUGUCCGUUUCCUCAGCUCUCCAAAACAGGCACCACUGGGAAUGUUGUGAGCAGAGGAAGAAAGCAGCCUGGGACGCUGGCCUCGGAGAAGAGCCGCUCUGUCUCCCUGCCAGGAGGCCUCCUUCAUCCCUCCCCGUUUGGUCUGCUCAGGCAGGCAGUGAUGAUGAACCUUGUGUUCCCUGGCCGACCUCCUUUUUCCUACUGAGGCGGAGGGUAACGCUUUGGCCAACCUACUGGACGAUCUCUGUUGUUGCAGCAGAGGCAGGAAAAAAAUGAAACUCCCUCCCUCAAGUGAAAAAAUCAUUUGCUACACAGCUCUAGGGAGCUGCAUUAGCACUGGAACUGCGAGAUCUUUGCCCUGUCCCUGGAGGCACCCGAUUGGCAUUUGCUAGAUUUGUGAUGCUCCAGUAGAAAGAACAGGAAACCUGCUGAGGACUGAAAGGUUUGACUCUGGAAAAGCAGGGAGUAUAGAAACAGAGACUUUAUUAUAUUACUUUUUUUCCUCCAUAAGAAAGUUAUUCAUAAACAUUCAAAUUAGAAACAUGCAUAAA
rnacentral:lncRNA from 1 species